AACGGCCAUACCCCGUCUUCUGUGUAUGUGCAAGCAGUUUUUGAAUCUUCCUCACAAUAUCUCUCGUUGAAAUUAUUCCAGUUUGAAAGCCAGACCAUUCUGUACAAAUGCAUGAGGAUAACAACAGAAUGCAGGAUACGAUGUUCCACCUGCUGAGAUGGUGCAGAGAGAGAUCAACACUAACAUUAAAGAGGUCAUUAGUCAAGA